rnacentral:rRNA from 1 species
AAAAGGUGGCUAUACUACCGCUUUUGGAUGGGCCCGCGGCGCAUUAGCUAGUUGGUAGGGUAAAGGCUUACCAAGGCAAUGAUGCGUAGCCGAAUUGAGAGGUUGAUCGGCCACAUUGGGACUGAGACACGGCCCAAACUCCUACGGGAGGCAGCAGUAGGGAAUCUUCCACAAUGGGCGAAAGCCUGAUGGAGCAACGCCGCGUGGGUGAAGAAGGUCUUCGGAUCGUAAAACCCUGUUGUUAGAGAAGAAAGUGCGUGAGAGUAACUGUUCACGUUUCGACGGUAUCUAACCAGAAAGCCACGGCUAACUACGUGCCAGCAGCCGCGGUAAUACGUAGGUGGCAAGCGUUAUCCGGAUUUAUUGGGCGUAAAGGGAACGCAGGCGGUCUUUUAAGUCUGAUGUGAAAGCCUUCGGCUUAACCGGAGUAGUGCAUUGGAAACUGGGAGACUUGAGUGCAGAAGAGGAGAGUGGAACUCCAUGUGUAGCGGUGAAAUGCGUAGAUAUAUGGAAGAACACCAGUGGCGAAAGCGGCUCUCUGGUCUGUAACUGACGCUGAGGUUCGAAAGCGUGGGUAGCAAACAGGAUUAGAUACCCUGGUAGUCCACGCCGUAAACGAUGAAUGCUAAGUGUUGGAGGGUUUCCGC